UACGGAGGGGGCGAGCGUUAUUCGGAAUUACUGGGCGUAAAGGGCGCGUAGGCGGCCUGUUAAGUCGAACGUGAAAUCCCCGGGCUCAACCCGGGAACUGCGUCCGAUACUGGCAGGCUUGAAUUCGGGAGAGGGAUGUGGAAUUCCAGGUGUAGCGGUGAAAUGCGUAGAUAUCUGGAGGAACACCGGUGGCGAAGGCGGCAUCCUGGACCGAUAUUGACGCUGAUGCGCGAAAGCCAGGGGAGCAAACGGG
rnacentral:rRNA from 1 species